AUUACUUUCCCCGUGCUCUUGUCAUAAGCACGAGAUUUAUCUCAGGUUAACUCCCUGAGAAUCUAUCCGUUGGGACUGCUGGAGAUAAAACUCAUGUAGAUGUGGGAGCCUCCCUAAGACUGGCCUCCCUGGAGUUUUUUUCUCUCAAGCAUGUCCACACUGAGGCUUCAGUAAUUCAUCAGUUACAGCAUAAGUUCUCCUACCCUACUUCUGGGUCCAGCAGCAGGCUUCUGUUCCUGAACUUCUGCUCCAAGUCCACAAAUAUUUAUGGAGUACCCGCUUUGUGCCAGACACUGAACAAGACCAAGAAGGCCCCCUCCUCAUGUGAGGCUGACAUUCUAUGGAGGGGCCCAUACCCAAGCAAAGAAAAAUAAACUCAGCAUCUCAGACAGUGGACCAAAAUGGGGUCACAGAAGAGGACCUGACUGCGAGGGAGCUAUUUCCUACUGAGUGGUCAAGGUUGACCUCUCAGGAGGGAACAUCUGAGUCAUAAUUUGAAUGAAGAACAGGAAUGAACUAUGUGAAGAGCCAGGGGAAGAACAUUCCAGAAAGAAGAGACAAACCAGGAAUGUUGGAGGCGCAGAGAAGCCCAUGGAGCUGAAUUGCUGUUGAAAGGACUUACUACACCACAGGAAAGGAAAACAGACUGACAACUAAAAACAUCUCAGGGAAAAGAUUGAAUUUCAGAGAGAAGGAAAAUGAUUUGCCAAACGUAAAAGAAAAUAAAGGAAGUUUAUUACAAAGGAAGAAAAUCAGACCAGCUUUGGAUCUCUCCACAAAAGCAAACACUAGACAAGAAGCAGCAAUACGAGAGGAAAAGUGUGAUGGAGAAUUCUGAUUGUCGUUCCAGAUUAUCAUUCCUGUGAGAGCAGCGGGGAGGUUUUCUCAUACAUGAAAGGCUCAGAGUACACUUGCCAUGGGGCUGCAAUAAAAAGAAUCACUUGAAGAUAUGGCUUAAUGCUUAAGAAAUGAAUUAUAGAUAGAAUUUAACACUGCGGAAGCCAUAAUUUAAAGAACCGUAGAAUAAACUAUGCAAUGGAGUCAAGGCAAAAUGAUGAU
rnacentral:lncRNA from 10 species